CGUUUUAGGGCUGCACCUGCAGCAUAUGAAAGUUCCCAGGCUAGGGGUCCAAUCAGAGCUGCAGCUGCUGGCCUACACCACAGCCACAGCAAUGCCAGAUCCUUAACCCACCGAGUGAACCCAUGACCUCCUGGAUACGAGUCGGGUUCAUUACUGCUGAGCCACAGCGGGAACUCCAUUUCUCCAGACCUCGGAAUGGCUUGUGCUCUCAUUUCACCUUGGUCUCUGCUCAUGCCCCAUAUCUGACUUCCUUAACCUUCUCAUCACUCACUAUGUCCUUACUCCAACCUCGUAAUUUUUUUACAGUGCUCCUCGGUUGAUUGCCUGUUCAUUCACUUGGCUUCUUGAAUAUACAUUUACGAGAAGGUAAAGUCCCCAGUGCAAGGACUGUGACACACUCACCAGCGCAUCUCUGUGCCUAGAGCAGUGCCUGGCCCCCAGAAGCGCCUCUCGUGGAAGGACACACAGGGGAUGGAUGAUCCUGCCAACAGCCGCUGAGUCAUGGGAGCACAGAGGAGGUGCCACCACUGUGAGGACAGAGGACACAGAGGCUGGGGACUGUCCGGCGGCUGGUCUGAGCUUUAGCGUAACCACCGUGAGGUCUCUAGGAUUUGUCCUCCUCCUAAGACACCUGGUCUGAGAGCUCGGAAAUCAGGCUUCCUGUCCUGGCUCUGUGGACAAUUUCCUGUGUGACCUUGGGCAGAUUAGAAAACGUGAAUUUUCGAAGCCUUGUUAUUUCAAUCACGUGAAUAAAGGCAAGGGUGUUUUUUUUUUUUAAUCUUCCAAGUCCUCACCAGCCUUACCUUUUUCUUAAUAUCAAGUUCACAUUGGUUUGUUAAUCACUGUCGUAUUUGCGCUCUGCGUUGGAACAAAGAACGCAGGAAAGGGUAAUCAAGACGCAGACAUGCAUCCCAGGGUCUCCUCCCCCUUACCAGCCAAGUCGGUACUGGACUCCCUCUUUCUCCCUGGCAAGGGACCCGGUCACUCCGUGUUUGCUAGACAGCAGCGGCCUUGUCCUUGCUAGUUCUCUCAUCUUGGGCAAAACAUGGGGCUACUCUAAGCUUCAAAUCUUUGCUGUGAAGAUGAAGUGGGAUAACACAAAUAAGACAGCUGAAAUUGCUUGUUGCUUGGCAAUUGUUACAGUGAAUACUGGCCACAUACUGACAAAAGGGCCGUGAUGGUGUUAGGCUUUGAUGAUUGCUCUCGGAGACUCCUAUAUUGAAAAUACUGUUUGGAGUUCUCCUGUAGAGCAGCAGGUUAAAGGAUCUGGCAUUGUCACUGUAGCAGCUUGGUUCCUGUUGUGGCACAGCGGAAACCACCGACUAGGAACCAUGAGGUUGAGGGUUCGAUCCUUGGCCUCACUCAGUGGGUUAAGGAUCUGGCAUUGCUGUGAGCUGUGGUGUAGGUCGUAGGUCCCAGCCGGGGCUUGGAAUCUGUGUUGCUGUGGCUGUGGUGUAGGCUGGCAGCUGUCGCUCUGAUUUGACCCCUAGCCUGGGAACCUCCAUAUGCCGUGGGUG
rnacentral:lncRNA from 1 species